rnacentral:rRNA from 1 species
UACAGAGGGUGCGAGCGUUAAUCGGAGUUACUGGGCGUAAAGGGCGCGUAGGUGGUUGUACAAGUAAGGUGUGAAAUCCCUGGGCUUAACCUAGGAAUUGCACUUUAAACUGUAUAGCUAGAGUGCGGUAGAGGGUAGUGGAAUUUCCGGUGUAGCGGUGAAAUGCGUAGAGAUCGGAAGGAACACCAAUGGCGAAGGCAGCUUGCUGGGACGGUACUGACGCUGAGGCGCGAAAGCGUGGGGAGCAAACAGG